ACGCUAAUCGGAACCAAGCUUUUGUUGAAUUUGUAGACUUAAAUCAGGCUAUUUCGAUGGUUUCAUAUUAUGCUUCAUCAUCAGAGCCAGCACAGGUUCGUGGAAAAAA